rnacentral:rRNA from 1 species
GACGAACGCUGGCGGCGUGCUUAACACAUGCAAGUCGAACGGUGAAGCGCCUUCCUUUUUGGUGGGUGUGGAUGAGUGGCGAACGGGUGAGUAACACGUGAGUAACCUGCCCCCUUCUGCUGGAUAACCGCAUGAAAGUGUGGCUAAUACGGGAUAUUCUGGGUCUGUCGCAUGAUGGGUCUGGGAAAGAUAUUGUUUCGGUGGGGGAUGGGCUCGCGGCCUAUCAGCUUGUUGGUGGGGUGAUGGCCUACCAAGGCGGUGACGGGUAGCCGGCCUGAGAGGGUGGACGGUCACACUGGGACUGAGGCACGGCCCAGACUCCUACGGGAGGCAGCAGUGGGGAAUAUUGCACAAUGGGCGCAAGCCUGAUGCAGCGACGCCGCGUGAGGGAUGGAGGCCUUCGGGUUGUGAACCUCUUUCGCCAGUGAAGCAGGCCUGCCUCGUUUGUGGGUGGGUUGACGGUAGCUGGAUAAGAAGCGCCGGCUAACUACGUG